UGAGAAAGGACAAUGGGCACUUUUGUAUGGGGAGUGUCCCAUGGAUGUAUACUGUUGAGACAUAUGUCGUUUUAAAGCUCUUAAUCGUAGUAUUAUUUUAUUGUAUGGCACCAACCUUGGACCACUUGCAGGGACCGAGCUAUAUAAAAAAAGAAGUUGCGCAUAUAAGCAGUUAUAUUUCCUUAUACGCGGGAUAUAAAAAGUUUUAGCGUAUUUUAUUCGAAAGAAUAUAAAAAAUGCUUUAUGUUUUUUGUAUCAACACCAAUGAUAAAGUAUUUAAAGGGACACAAUGUACAGUUUUAAAAAAUCGUUUUUCUAAAAAUUACUUGAUACACAGCGAAAUAAGAGUGUAUACAAAUGCCAUGUAUAUCAUGUGAAAAGUAUUUUUAUAAGCUAUUUUUCGUAUAAUAUAACUGGGGUCAAAUCGUUGCAGGGACCAAAAUAAAACCAUUUAAUGAGUUAAUUAAUUGUAGUUAAUUACGCCUUAACUUUUCUACUCAACGCCAGAUGUCGCUCUAAAGCAAAAUUCUACUUGACGUAAAACAUUUAUACAUAGCGGUAAUCUCGUCAGUCUUACUCCAUCAUUUUAAAAAGUAUAGACUAGUUUAUGGAUUUCUAAAGUUAUGUCAAGAUGACUCUGAAUGUAAUAUUGUCAACAAUAAUUGUCAAAACACGCAAUUUAAAAUAUUCAACAUUGUAAUUACAAAAUAGUAUAUUUCUAAUACGCUAUAAUUUUCUCCAAUCGAAAGGCACUCCAUUCCAUUGAUCUCAGAGAGUAUGCUCCUUGAUGAUCUUCACUAUUCAUGGGGUAGGUAAGAUAAAAGUAUUAUUUUUUCUCGUAUAGCUGCUAUAUAGCGUUCGACUCCAUGGAAAAUAAAGGCUCCAAAUUAUAUAAAAAAUAUAGCAUAUAUACAAAGUGCAAUUUAGAUAGUAUUCCAGAAAAAAAUGCGCCAAUGUAAAUGCUGAAAAGUUUCCUAUCGUAUUGUCGAACAAAUUCAUAUCUACUUCUGAUCUACGCGACCUUAGAAGUUUGGAUUGUCCUACCUAAUCAUUUUACAUUUUAUUGUUUUCAGAACAAGAAUUAUUUUACUUCCCACUGUCUAUGUAAUGGGACUUAGAGCGGAUUCAUACUUUACUAUACGUGUCGUGUCGAAUGAUAGUCCCUAUGUCAGUUUCUCCAAUUCUAUUUUGCGUAGGAUAAGUUAAAAAAAUAAUUAAAAAUAUGUGUUACCGUAUUUUUAUUCGUGAAAUGUUACCUAUAUUUCUAAGUUAAUGAUUGUACUAUACUUCCAAAAAUAUGUCUGACAAACAUUUUACAUGAAAGCCAUUUUUCCAUGUAAAAAUGAACUGUUAUAGGGACCAUCUUCUGAAUUUAUGAUAAUUUAUUCAUAUUUUAAUGUACUCGGGUAAUAUUGCAGACAUUAUAUCAGCACCAAAUAAAUGCUGUGAACCAGAUAUAAUAAUAUAUUAAGUGGCGAAUAACGUUUCCAAAUCGCAUUUUCUUUUGACAUAUUUUUCUUUUUUUUUGCUCUUUUUUUCACGACCGGUUUGGCCUAGUAAGUCGAUGAUCCUGGGUUUGAAUCCCGGUAAGAGCAUUUAUUUGUGUGAUGAGCACAGAUAUUUGUUCCUGAGUCAUGGAUGUUUUCUAUGUAUUUAAGUAUUUGUAUAUUAUAUAUUAUUAUGUCGUUGUAUGAGUACCCACAAAACAAGCCUUCUCGGCUUGCCGUGGGACUCAGUCAAUUUGUGUAAGAAUGUCCCUAUAAUAUUUAUUUAUUGUUAUUAUUAUUGUAUGUCCGGUAACAGAACUCCCCAGGAGCACUCGGGUGUGUAAGGUCGCUACUCCCCAACUUAUUAUAAUUGUUAUUACUUUCAACAUUUUUAAGUUGUUCAUCGGACACUGAGGCCAUUGAAGUUUCAAGCUGGCGGCAUCAAAAUGGAGUACCUAGGUACUGUUUCAAAUAAAUGGGUGGUAAGUAAGUACAUUUGGUGAAGUGGAACUGCUGAUGUUGAUCAGAAACGGAACUCUUCCACGCGCGUGAUUUGUCUUCUUUGUUAAGUUUGUAGCGAGUAAGUUUCAAGUACCAAGGUUUUUAGGAACCUUUGUGUCAAGGUAAAGGUCUGACGAUGGGUUCCAUGAGGAAGCGAGGGAACACCUCAAGUCUUAUAGGCAUAUAGUCAUUUUGGAUUUUCAUCAAUACCUUAAGCUUUUUCAUUCCCACUAGUGGCAUUUAAUGAAGUGGAACUACUGAUGUUGACCAAAACGGAACUAUUGAACGCGCGAGAUUUUUCUUCUUUGUUUUUUUUUUAUGAUAUAAGAGGCAAACGAGCAGACGUCACACCUGAUGGUAAGCGAUUACCGCCGCCCAUGGACACCUGCUAAACCAUAGGGGUUGUAAGUUCGGUGCUGGCCUUUAAGAUUGGAAUACGCUGUUUUCUUAAAGUUUUAAAUGUCGUAUUGGUCCGGAAAUACCGCAGGCGACAGAUCAUUUCAUAGUUUGUUGAGUUCUGUAUGAGGCAGGAAGUUUCUAGAGAAAUGCACAGUUGAGGACUGCCAACCAUCUAAGUGGUGAAAAUAAAAAUGUUGUAGCGUAGCGCGAUGACGAAAAGAGGCGGCAAGGAUUAAUCCGAGCAAUGCGAUGGAACACUCGCCGUAAUAGAUUUGUCCUGAUAAGUUUGUAGAAAGUAAGGUUGUUAAGAAACAUCUGUGUCUAGAUCCAGGUCUGAUAGAUACCUCAAACCUUAUAGAAAUACAUAUAGUUUUUUUUGGAUUUACAUCAAUAACUUUGGGCGUUUUAUUAAAAAAAAGCUACAUUUAAUCAAGUGGAACUGCUGAUGUGUUCCAGAACGGAACUUUUCAACGCACACGUUUUGUAUUCUUUAUUAAGCUUGUAGUGAGUAAGGUUCUUAAGGUGUACUUAAUACAUCAAUGUCCAGUUCUGAUGAUGGGUUUCAUGAAGAAUCGAGGGAAUUCCUAAAAUCUUUUAGGCAUACAUGUAAUAAUUUCUGGGAUUUUAUUCACAUAUCAAGCAUUAUUAUUAAAAAAGUGUCAUUUGACUAAAAGUAACAGCUGAUGUUGACCAGAAUGGAACUCGCCAACUCGCGCGUGAUUUGUUUUAUUAGUUAAGUUUAUAGCAAGUAAGUUUUAAGUAUUAAGGUUUUUAGGAACAUUUGUGUCAAGGUAAAGGUCUGAUGAUGGGUCCCAUGAAGAAUCGAGGGAAUUUCUUAAAUGCUAUAGGCAUAUAUGUAGUACUUAUUGGAUUUUCAUCAACAUAUUAUCAACUUUUAUUCACAAAAGUGACAUUUGAUGAUGUGGAACUACUGAUGUUGACCAGAACGGAACUCCAACGCGUGCAAUUUUUCUUCGUUAAGUUUGUACCAAGUAAGGUUCUUAAGAAACAUUUUUGUCAAAGUACAGUUCUGAUGAUGGGUUUCAUGAAGAAUCGAGGGAAUUCCUAAAAUCUUAUAGGCAUACAUGUAAUAAUUUCUGGGAUUUUGUUUACAUAUCAAGCAUUUUUAUUAAAAAAAUUGUCAUUUGACUAAGUGUAACAGCUGAUGUUGACCAGAAUGGAACUCGCCAACUCGCGCGCGAUUUGUUUUAUUAGUUAAGAUUGUAGCAAGUAAGUUUUAAGUACUAAGGUUUUUAGGAACAUUCGUGUCAAGGUAAAGGUCUGAUGAUGGGUCCCAUGAAGAAUCGAGGGAAUUUCUUAAAUUUUAUAGGUAUAUAUAUAGUACUUAUUGGAUUUUCAUCAACAUAUUAUCAAGUUUUAUUCACAAAAGUCACAUUUGAUGAUGUGGAACUACUGAUGUUGACCAAAACGGAACUCCAACGCGCGCAAUUUUUCUUCGUUGUUAAGUUUGUAGCGAGUAAGGUUCUCAAGAAACAUUUUUGUCGAAGUACAGUUCUGAUGAUGUGUUUCAUGAGAAAGCGACGGAACUCCUCAUUCUCCUCAAUUUUUAUAGGUAUAUAGUAAUUUUGGAUUUUCAUCAAUAUCUUUAGCUUUUUUUAUUCACAUUAGUGGCAUUUGAUGAAGUGGAACUAGUGAUGUUGACUAAAACGGAACUCUUCAACGCAUGAGAUUUUAUUCUUUUUUUGUUUGUUGUGAUAUAAGAGGCAAACUAGCAGACGAAUCAACUGAUGGUAAGCAAUUACCGCUGGCCAUGGACAUCUGUUACACCAUAGGGAUUGUAAGUGCGGUGCCGGCAUUUAAGAUAGGAAUACGCUCUUUCCUUAAAGUUUUAAAGAUCGUAUUGGGCCGAAAAUACCGCAUGCGACAGAUCAUUUCAUAGUUUAGCUGUAUGAGACAGGAAGUUUCUAGAGAAAUGCACAGUUGAGGAUUGCCAACCAUCUAAGUGGUGAAGAUAUAAAUGAUGUGGCGUAAAGCGGUGACGGAAAGAGGCGGCAGAGAUUAAUCCGAACAAUUCCUCGGAACUUUUAAGUUUGUAGAAAGUAAGGUUCUUAAGAAAUGUCUGUACUAGACACCAGUGUCUAGGUCUGAUGAUGGACACCUCAAACCUUAUAGAAAUACAUAUAGUUUUUUUUUUCAUCAAUAUCUCUAGGUGUUUUAUUUUAAAAAAGUUAUAUUUGAUCAAGUGGAACUGCUGAUGUUGUCCAGAACGGAACUUUUCAACGCACGCGUUUUGUAUUCUUUAUUAAGCUUGUAGCGAGUAACGUUCUUAAGGUGUAUUUAUAUCAAUGUUCAGUUCUGAUGAUGGGUUUCAUAAAUAAUCGAGGGAAUUCCUGACAUCUUAUAAUUUCUGGAUUUUUAUUUACAUAUCAAGCAUUUUUAUUAAAAUGUGACAUUUGACGAAAUGCAACAGCUGAUGCUGGCCAAAAUGGAACUCGCCAAUUCGCGCGCGAUAUGUUUUAUUUGUUUAUUUUGUAGCAAGUAAAGUUCUUGAAGACAUUUGUGUCAUAAGGUCUAGUUCUGAGGAUGGGUUCCAUGAGAAAUCGAAGAAAUUCCUCAAAUCUUAUAGGCAUACAAUAAUAUAUAGUAAUGUUUGGAUUCUCGUCAACAUAUCAAGCAUUUUUAUUUAAACAAGUUAGUGAUAUUGACCAGAACGGAACUCUUCAACGCGCGCUAGGUUCAGCUAGGUUCUUAGGAAACAUUUGUGUCAAGGUCCAGUUCUGAUGAUGGAUUCAAUGAGGAAUUGAGGAUUUUAAAUCGAUUUGAAUUCACAAUUAGGAGGAAUUGAGGAUUUUCGUCAACAUAUCAAGUUUUUUUUAUUUGAACAAGUGACAUUUGAUGAAGUGAAACUGCUGAUAUUACUGAAACUAUGCUGAUACUGCUGAAAUGGAACUCUUCAACGACAAGUAUUUUACCUUAGGCGUUUUUUUUUUUUAUUUCGUUUAUAGCAUGUAAGGCUUUUAAGGAACAUUUGUGUCAAGGUCCAGUUCUGAUGAUAGGUUCUACGAGAAACUGAAGGAGCUUCUCAUAUUGUAUAGGAUAGGCAUACAUAUAGUCAUUUUAGGAUUUUCAUCAAUAUUACAAGCAUUUUUACUCAAUAAAGUGACAUUUGUUGAAGUAGAAUUGCUGAUGAAGAACGGAACACCUCAACGACUUCCAGAUUCUUUAUUUUUAUUACUCUUCUUCCUUUUUCAUUAUUCUUAGAACAGGUAUUUCUACGAAGUGAACCGAACUGCUACUAUUAAAAGUAGCUAGGUAGGUAGGUUAAAUAGGUUAAAACUGUAAGGAUUAUUAUGUAUAAGUAGUUUCUUUUAAUUAAACAUAGGUAAGUAAUUCUAUUUAAGUAUAAGUAUCUUUAAAAAAACAUCAAUCGACUCUUAUCUGUCACUAGUUCCAGUUUCAGAGUAUAAAAUCCGGGUACACAGCCACGGCUAGCCGGGUAGCCAGACAGUUCGAAUACGGACAAGUUAUUGUGAAUAAAAAAUCUUAUCGUCUUGCAAAAGUUAAUGUCAUAAAUGUAUAGGUUUCGAAUACAUGAAUAUAAAGUGAAAAUGCUGGUAAAAGUAUUAGUUUUUAUCAUUAACCAUUUUAUAUCCCAACAAAACUGUUACCCUUACAAAAAUAAAAUGCUUUCAUUACCUAAUGUAGGUUACGUUAGGUAAUAAAUAAAUAAAUAUGUAGGGACAAUCUUACACAGAUUGGCCCCAAAAUAAUCAAAGCUUGUACUAUGGGUACUAGGCGACGUUAAACAUACUUAUUUAGAUAAAUAUAUAUUUACGUAUAUACAUAGAAAACACGCAAGCCUUAGGAACAAAUAUCUGUAUUCAUCACACAAAGAAAUGUCCUUACGCGAUUCAAACUCGGGACCAUCGGCUUCAUAGGCAGGGUCACUACCCACUAGGCCAAACCGGUCGGCAAAAGGUAAAGAUAAUUAGGUAAAGACAAUGAAUAAUUAAACGUAUUAUAAAUUGACACCAAUAUCCAUCAAAUAGUAUAACUAGGUAUGCUAAGAGCGGGCUUCAGGCCAUUACGUCGCACCUUUAGAAUUAAAUUAAUUUGACUCAAAAAGUACGACUACUUUAUAUAAUGUAGUUUGGUAGAACAGUAAGAACUCACUAUAUGUGUCUCUUUUUCAUGCGGUGAAAUCCCCCCCACCCGGAAAGGAUAGCGACGCCCAUUUUAUCGACUCUCGAGUCGACUCCAAUCUGAUACUAAUAAAACCAUACGGAAAUAAUGAGGAUGCAUCGACAUAAGAAGAAUCGAACAUGGGCAAGAUAAAGUUCAAGAAAAAAGCAAAUAUAAUGUGUACUUGUGUGUAGUCAAAGAAAGUUGAAAAAUAAAGCAUAAUUAAUGGCCAUAGAAUACAGAACCGAUACACGAACAUUAAGACUAUUAAAAAUAGACAUAUAGGUUGAUCGUACUACUCGUACUAAUGUAUAUCUUUUGUUCAAUUAUAUUAUUGCAUUAAAGUUAGAUUCUCUAGAUAUAUAUUAUUCAUAGGUUCUGUAUUCUAUACGAAUUGUUUCAGUGUAAUUAUUGUACUAAAUACCGUUGACCGCCUGUCAACAGUAUUUAUUUCUACAUUACUAUCACAGAAGAUUUUAGGCCCUACCGUACAGUUUUUGAAUUAGUAUUUACUAUGGACAAAUAUAGCGAAAUGUGAGUUUUUACCUAAAA